rnacentral:rRNA from 1 species
UACGAAGGGGGCUAGCGUUGUUCGGAAUUACUGGGCGUAAAGCGCGUGUAGGCGGUUGACCAAGGCAGGGGUGAAAGCCUUGAGCUCAACUCAAGAAAUGCACUUGGUACUGGGUGGCUAGAGGACCGGAGAGGAUAGUGGAAUUCCCAGUGUAGUGGUGAAAUACGUAGAGAUUGGGAAGAACACCAGUGGCGAAGGCGGCUAUCUGGACGGUUACUGACGCUAAGACUCGAAAGCGUGGAGAGCAAACAGG